ensembl:miRNA
GAGGAUGGGGGGAUGGAUGGAGAGGACAUAGCCUGGCACUGAGGUCCCCUCCACUUUCCUCCUAG